AAACACCGCCAAUAUCUAAAGUUCGAACUUCCCUCUUCAUCCUCUACUGAAAUUUCAUCUUCCCUCUACUUGAAAAUUUCAUAUUCCCGCUUGUUUACAAUUACAUCCCCAAAACUCCCCCUCCCCAAAUCCAUCUCCUUCCCAACCGCAUAUUUCCCCUCAAGCUUAAUCAAUCGAAGUCGUGGUCUGCCAUCACAACACCACCACUUCUUGGUGGUUAUGGUGUUGGUCAAAAUUUGUAUUAGAAAUAAAUAGAUCUGCAAGCUUACAUACUUGUUACCAGUGGUCAUCGGAACCCUAGCCGCCAAUUCCGUAGGUGGCUGGUAGGUCUUCAAACACCACAACCACCAGAACCCGAGGUCUUACAACAUGCCUUUGUUUCCCAAGCCUUUGGUUCUUACUUCUUCAACGAUUUUAAUAGUUCAAAACUCAAAAUCACAAUCCAAUCACAGCUUAUAUUAAGAGGGCUGGCAUGAAAUAUGGGAACAAACAUUUUGUUAUAGACAAGAGCAGGUGUGAUACCUACAAGGCUAAAAGCAGUUUCAUCCAUUGAAUUAUGCCAACACAAAUUCCCUUCUAACUAACCUUGGUGUGGAAGGCAAGCAGCUAUUAGCGGUAGGUUCAUGCUGUACAUGGUUACUUGAGAAGCCUGGGUUGGUUUGUUGCUAACAUGUGCCUUGCUGAGGGAAAUUGCUUCAAAGAAAAUAAAAAAAAGUUUUACCACAAGGUGUCACAUUUGGUCUUGGUUGGGGAAGAGUAGAGGAAUACUCGGCUGCAGAUAUGGAUGGUAUUUGCGAAGAUUGGUUGACUUAUACGGCUACCUUUGUUAAGUGGACCAUAUUUAGGUGUUGAAGAAUGUAUUGACAAACAAUUUUUUUUUUGUUAACGUUAACAUAUUUGUAAUAUACUUGACAUGUGAUUAUGUAAUUGGUUGUUUUGGUAUA